UGGGGAAUAUUGGACAAUGGGCGAAAGCCUGAUCCAGCCAUGCCGCGUGAGUGAUGAAGGCCUUAGGGUUGUAAAACUCUUUCGCCGGGGAAGAUAAUGACGGUACCCGGAGAAGAAGCUCCGGCUAACUUCGUGCCAGCAGCCGCGGUAAUACGUAGGGACCAAGCGUUGUUCGGAUUUACUGGGCGUAAAGGGCGCGUAGGCGGCAAUUCAAGUCAUCUGUGAAAUCUCCGGGCUUAACUCGGAACGGUCAGAUGAUACUGCUUUGCUAGAGUGCAGAAGGGGCAAUCGGAAUUCUUGGUGUAGCGGUGAAAUGCGUAGAUAUCAAGAGGAACACCUGAGGUGAAGACGGUUGCUGGGCUGACACUGACGCUGAGGCGCGAAAGCCAGGGGAGCAAACGGGAUUAGAUACCCAGGUAGUCCCUGAGCGGGCUGGCAAGGCGCAU
rnacentral:rRNA from 1 species